rfam:Triticum aestivum genome assembly, contig: Triticum_aestivum_CS42_TGACv1_scaffold_221946_3B
AUGGUACUCCCUUCGUCCGGAAAUACUUGUCCUAUAAAUGGAUGUAUCUAGACUUAUUUUAGUUAUAGAUACAUUCAUUUUCUUCAUUUUUAGGACAAGUAUUUCUGGUCGGAGGGAGUAUUAU